AACCGUUAUCCAUUGGGGGAUAACGAAGGCCCGUUAGGGGGCGGAUGG
rnacentral:ncRNA from 12 species